rnacentral:lncRNA from 1 species
AGGGUAAGACAUUGUGUCACGUAGCCGCCAUUUGUGGCAUUUGAAACCUCUGGCUCCUCAUUGCCUAAGACUAUAAGUUCACUGAAGUACAUUUAGAAGGAGCUUUCAAAAUUAGAUACACACAAUGGAUGGUUGGAAACCUGUCUGUUUCUUAGAUGUCAUGUGUUUCUUUUCUGUUCUAAACAUGUAUUGAAAACUAGGUCGUUGUUUAGCGG